CCAUCUCCUGUGCAAGCGCCGGAGUAAUAGUGAUGAGUCAAGCGUUAUACGGAUAUAUUUGGUUUAAAGGGGGGGUAGUCGGCCUAUUAAGGCAGUAGUGAAAUCUUUCAGCUUAACUGUUAAAACUGCUAUUGAUACUGAUGGGCUGGAGUGAGGUUGGAGUAGCUGGAAUGUGUGGUGUAGCGGUGAAAUGCAUAGAUAUCACACAGAACACCGAUCGCGAAGGCAAGUUACUAAGCCUAUACUGACGCUGAGGCACGAAAGCGUGGGGAGCAAAUAGGAUUAGAUACCCUUGUAGUC
rnacentral:rRNA from 1 species